rnacentral:rRNA from 1 species
CCCAGACUCCUACGGAGGCAGCAGUGGGGGAUAUUGCACAAUGGGGGGAACCCUGAUGCAGCGACGCCGCGUGGGUGAAGAAGUAUUUCGGUAUGUAAAGCCCUAUCGGCAGGGAAGAAAUUGGACGGUACCUGACUAAGAAGCCCUGGCUAACUACGUGCCAGCAGCCGCGGUAAUACGUAGGGGGCAAGCGUUAUCCGGAUUCACUGGGUGUAAAGGGAGCGUAGACGGCCAUGCAAGCCUGGAGUGAAAGCCCGGGGCCCAACCCCGGGACUGCUCUGGGAACUGUGCGGCUGGAGUGCGGGAGGGGCAGGCGGAAUUCCUGGUGUAGCGGUGAAAUGCGUAGAUAUCAGGAGGAACACCGGCGGCGAAGGCGGCCUGCUGGACCGCGACUGACGUUGAGGCUCGAAAGCGUGGGGAGCAAACAGGAUUAGAUACCCCCGUAAUU